rnacentral:rRNA from 1 species
GACGAACGCUGGCGGCGUGCUUAACACAUGCAAGUCGAACGAAGUGGCGAACGGGUGAGUAACGCGUAAUCAACCUGCCCUUCAGAGGGGGACAACAGGUGGAAACGACUGCUAAUGCCGAAUACUGAAGGAGGGGAUUGAGUCUGAUUAGCUGGUUGGGGGGGUAACGGCCCACCAAGGCUAUGAUCAGUAGCCGAUCUGGGAGGAUGACCGGCCACAUUGGGACUGAGACACGGCCCAGACUCCUACGGGAGGCAGCAGUGGGGAAUCUUCGGCAAUGGACGAAAGUCUGACGGAGCAACGCCGCGUGUGAGAUGAAGGCCUUCGGGUUGUAAAGCACUUUUGGCAGGAAAGCGGUACCUGCAGAAUAAGCACCGGCUAACUACGUGCCAGCAGCCGCGGUAAUUC